rnacentral:rRNA from 1 species
CCCUCUGGGUCGUAAACUGCUUUUAUUCGGGAAUAAACCUCAUUACGUGUAAUGAGC